rnacentral:rRNA from 1 species
UUAAGUAGACCGCCUGGGGAGUACGGUCGCAAGAUUAAAACUCAAAUGAAUUGACGGGGGCCCGCACAAGCGGUGGAGCAUGUGGUUUAAUUCGAUGCAACGCGAAGAACCUUACCUACUCUUGACAUCCAGAGAAGCCAGCGGAGACACAGGUGUGCCUUCGGGAGCUCUGAGACAGGUGCUGCAUGGCUGUCGUCAGCUCGUGUCGUGAGAUGUUGGGUUA